rnacentral:rRNA from 1 species
AACGCGAAGAACCUUACCUAGACUUGACAUCCCUUGCAUAACUCAGAGAUGAGUGAAGUCCUUCGGGACAAGGUGACAGGUGGUGCAUGGUUGUCGUCAGCUCGUGUCGUGAGAUGUUGGGUUAAGUCCCGCAACGAGCGCAACCCUUAUCAUUAGUUGCUACCAUUAAGUUGAGCACUCUAGUGAGACUGCCCGGGUUAACCGGGAGGAAGGUGGGGAUGACGUCAAAUCAUCAUGCCCCUUAUGUCUAGGGCUACACACGUGCUACAAUGGUGAGUACAAAGAGAUGCAAGACCGCAAGGUGGAGCCAAACUCAAAAACUCAUCCCAGUUCGGAUUGUAGGCUGCAACUCGCCUACAUGAAGCCGGAGUUGCUAGUAAUCGCGAAUCAGCAUGUCGCGGUGAAUACGUUCCCGGGCCUUGUA